AUUGAACGCUGGCGGCAUGCCUUACACAUGCAAGUCGAACGGCAGCACGGGGCAACCUGGUGGCGAGUGGCGAACAGGUGAGUAAUGCAUCGGAACGUACCUUUCAGUGGGGGAUAACGUAGCGAAAGUUACGCUAAUACCGCAUAUUCUGUGAGCAGGAAAGCAGGGGAUCGCAAGACCUUGCGCUGAUUGAGCGGCCGAUGUCGGAUUAGCUAGUUGGUGAGGUAAAGGCUCACCAAGGCGACGAUCUGUAGCGGGUCUGAGAGGAUGAUCCGCCACACUGGAACUGAGACACGGUCCAGACUCCUACGGGAGGCAGCAGUGGGGAAUUUUGGACAAUGGGGGCAACCCUGAUCCAGCCAUGCCGCGUGAGUGAAGAAGGCCUUCGGGUUGUAAAGCUCUUUCGGCCGGGAAGAAAUCGCACGGGCUAAUACCCUGUGUGGAUGACGGUACCGGAAUAAGAAGCACCGGCUAACUACGUGCCAGCAGCCGCCGUAA
rnacentral:rRNA from 1 species